rnacentral:rRNA from 2 species
UUGACCUCAAAUCAGGUAGGACUACCCGCUGAACUUAAGCAUAUCAAUAAGCGGAGGAAAAGAAACUAACAAGGAUUCCCCUAGUAACUGCGAGUGAAGCGGGAAAAGCUCAAAUUUAAAAUCUGGCAGUCUUUGGCUGUCCGA